rnacentral:rRNA from 1 species
GACGAAGGGGCUAGCGUUGUUCGGAAUUACUGGGCGUAAAGAGCGCGCAGGCGGUCGUUCAAGUCGCGUGUGAAAGCCCCGGCUCAACUGGGAGGGUCACGCGAUACUGAUCGACUCGAAGGCAGGAGAGGGUAGUGGAAUUCCCGGUGUAGUGGUGAAAUGCGUAGAUAUCGGAGAACACCAGUGGCGAAGGCGACUACCUGGCCUGUCUUGACGCUGAGGCGCGAAGCUAGGAGCAACGGGAUUAAGAUGACCCGAGUACAGUACCCGAGACCAACAUCUCU